ensembl:lncRNA
AUUUUUUACACAUGUGAAAACAUGCCAUAUGAUGAAAUAAUGUAAAGUAGGCUGUGAAACACACUCCAGAAAGGUUUUCUUUUAAAAAAAAAAAUCAUCAUGAAUUUUGGCGCAAAAAAACGCCUGACUAUACUAUGUUGAAAAAAACAAUGCGAUUUUUCAAACAUGUUGUAAAACCAUGCCAUAUAAUGAAAUAAUGUAAAGGAGGCCGUGAAAAACACUCCAGAAAGGUUUUCUUUGAAAAAAAAAAUCAUCAUGAAUUUUGGCGCAAAAAAACGCCUUACUAUACUAUGUCGAAAAAAAAUGCGAUUUUUCAACAUGUUGUAAAAACAGUGCCAUAUGAUGAAAUAAUGUAAAGGAGGCCGUGAAAAACAC